CGCGGCCUCAGGACGUGGGCACGUUGUCGUCCAGAGAGCAAGAGCGUCGCUCCCCCUCGCCUUCUCGGCCGCCCUCCCGGUUUACCGCCCCCUGUGUCCAGAGAUCACAGAUGGAGAGACAUUUUGCCACACGAUGAAUCACACAAUUUAUAAACUCUCCUCUGUCACUGGCUGCUGAACAGAAGGAACCCUGUGAAAGUUGUGUCAUCGUCC
rnacentral:lncRNA from 10 species